rnacentral:rRNA from 1 species
UUGGCCCUACGGGAGGCAGCAGUGAGGAAUAUUGGUCAAUGGUCGGGAGACUGAACCAGCCAAGCCGCGUGAGGGAGGAAGGUACAGAGUAUCGUAAACCUCUUUUGUCAGGGAACAAAGGCGGGGACGUGUCCCCGGAUGAGUGUACCUGAAGAAAAAGCAUCGGCUAACUCCGUGCCAGCAGCCGCGGUAAUACGUAGGGUGCGAGCGUUAAUCGGAAUUACUGGGCGUAAAGGGUGUGCAGGCGGGUUUGCAAGAUGGAUGUGAAAGCCCCGGGCUUAACCUGGGAAAGCCAUACAUGACUG